rnacentral:rRNA from 1 species
UACAGAGGGGGGCAAGCGUUGUUCGGAAUUACUGGGCGUAAAGGGCGCGUAGGCGGCCUUCUAAGUCGAACGUGAAAUCCCCGGGCUCAACCCGGGAACUGCGUCCGAUACUGGAAGGCUUGAAUCCGGGAGAGGGAUGCGGAAUUCCAGGUGUAGGCGGUGAAAUGCGUAGAUAUCUGGAGGAACACCGAUGGCGAAGGCAGGUCUCUGGGCCGAUACUGACGCUGGAGGAGCGAAAGCGUGGGGAGCGGAACAGGAAUUAGGAUACCCUUGUAUCCAGACCAAGAUCCUUCUGCAC